rnacentral:misc_RNA from 1 species
AACGCACCUUGCGCUCCUCGGCAUUCCGAGGAGCAUGCCUGUUUGAGUGUCACGUCAAACCGUCGCGGCCCCCACGACCCCGGUCUUGGGAGACGCGGAUUUGGACCGUGCCGUUGUCGGCUCGUCUCGAAACGCAUCAAGCCUUGGCCUUGCCAAACUCCGGUCGGGCUCGCCACUGGUGUGAUACGCUAUCUGCACCGCCGGCACCCCCCCCCGGAAGGCUUCGAGGCCCCCACCGGCCCCGAAAUUCCACAUUGUGCUCUGGCCUCAAAUCAGGUAGGACUACCCGCUGAACUUAA